rnacentral:rRNA from 1 species
GACGAACGCUGGCGGCGUGCCUAAUACAUGCAAGUCGAACGCAGUGGGGACGGGUGAGUAACACGUGGGUAACCUCCCAUCAGAGGGGAUAACACUUGGAAACAGGUGCUAAACCGAUACUGAUGGAUGGACCCGCGGUGCAUUAGCUAGUUGGUGAGGUAACGGCUCACCAAGGCCACGAUGCAUAGCCGACCUGAGAGGUGGACCGGCCACAUUGGGACUGAGCCAGGGCCCAGCCUCCUACGGGAGGCAGCAGUGGGGAUUCUUCGGCAAUGGACGAAAUCCGGACCGAGCAACGCCGCGGGAGUGAAUAAGGUUUUCGGAUCGUAAACCUCUUUCGUUAGAGAGUCGGUACCUACCCAGAAAGCCACGGCUAACUCCGGGCCAGCAGCCUCGGUAAUAC